GCAGAUGUGGCAGAGUGGUCUUCUCUAAAUGAGAACAAAAUAAUGCGUCGGCCUUGAGAGCCGAUUCGCCUUCGGGCGAUCAGGAGUUCGAAUCUCCUCAUCUGCGCCA
rnacentral:tRNA from 1 species